UACUCAUGUACCUUGGAGGGAUACCCAAGGGGAAAAGCAAUGGGAGGAUGAGGACUGGUCAGAGGUCAGAGGAUGAAACAAGGCAAGGAUGUGAGCUCACCUAUCACCUUUCAAUGUCAUCCCCAGGGAGACUACAAGGCACUCUGAACAUGCACAGCACCACAGAAUGGUUCCAUCUUGAGGAAAGUGUGCAUCAUUUGUAUCUCUGCAACAACACAGUCCUAAGGAGAAGAGCAGCAGUCAGCCAUAGGCAGCCAAGACUCACAGCACCAGAAGGAUGGGUGAACUGAUUUGUGAAAGAGAUAUGGACAAGUGCCAAGAGCGCCCACUCAACUAUCUGGAUAAAAACAGUAGUUUCUCACUGAAGAUGAAAACAACACUGAGAUUCCACUUCACCCCAGAAAGAAUGGCUGCUAUCAAGAAAUCAAUCAAUAAGAAAUGCUGGUGGGGGUGUGGGGAGAAAGGAACCCUUCUCCGUUGUUGGUGGGAAUGCAGACUCGUGCAACCACUGUGGAAAUCAGUAUGGAGAUACCUCAAUGAACUAAAACUAGAGAUCCCAUUUGACCCAGCUAUUCCCCUGCUGGGUAUCUUCCCAAAAGAAUUAAAAGAAUCAUACCACAGUGAUAUAUGGGUACCCAUGUUCAUAGCAGCACAAUUUGCAAUAGCUAA
rnacentral:lncRNA from 1 species